GAGCCUGACUGGCGUAAUGAGUACUGCUAAUUUCUCACCCCCGUGGUUCAAUUCCAAGGCUAGCUCG
rnacentral:tRNA from 1 species